rnacentral:snRNA from 2 species
GGAGGUGUGUGUCUUCGUCUGUGAUGGCACGAUAACUGAACAUUGAUCGCUUUACGUGUUAGUUUGCAGAUCUGCUCAGUGGCAACCCGUCACACCUUGAUACAAUCGUCUGGCAGUCCGGAUCUGGUAUCACGGGUGAACUCUCGCUGCACGGCGCCGGGCCGAACGCACGAUUGAUGUCAUUUGUGAUACAAGACUACUGCCGUUCUUACCCAACUCUUUCCAAAUUGUUGAGUAUAAAAAUCGUAAUUUAAUACAGAUAGCUUAGCUUCGGAUUAAAAUUACAUUGUUCAGAACGCUUCCAUAUCACUAGGGCACCGCCGAGCGGUCGGCCCAUUCUUUUG